rnacentral:sRNA from 1 species
UUGCGGCAGGGAUCGAAGUGAAAAUACUGCAAUGCAACAUGCUCUCAAUUUUUAUUUUUUCAGAUAGAAUCUGACUUUCAUGUUGCUUUGCAGAUUGAAACGAAGAGCCCGGUCCAGC